rnacentral:rRNA from 1 species
AUUGAACGCUGGCGGCAGGCUUAACACAUGCAAGUCGAGCGGAGAUGAGGUGCUUGCACCUUAUCUUAGCGGCGGACGGGUGAGUAAUGCUUAGGAAUCUGCCUAUUAGUGGGGGACAACAUUCCGAAAGGAAUGCUAAUACCGCAUACGCCCUACGGGGGAAAGCAGGGGAUCUUCGGACCUUGCGCUAAUAGAUGAGCCUAAGUCGGAUUAGGUAGUUGGUGGGGUAAAGGCCUACCAAGGCGACGAUCUGUAGCGGGUCUGAGAGGAUGAUCCGCCACACUGGGACUGAGACACGGCCCAGACUCCUACGGGAGGCAGCAGUGGGGAAUAUUGGACAAUGGGCGGAAGCCUGAUCCAGCCAUGCCGCGUGUGUGAAGAAGGCCUUUUGGUUGUAAAGCACUUUAAGCGAGGAGGAGGCUACUUAGAUUAAUACUCUAGGAUAGUGGACGUUACUCGCAGAAUAAGCACCGGCUAACUCUGUGCCAGCAGCCGCGGUAAUAC